rnacentral:rRNA from 1 species
UGGGGAAUUUUGGACAAUGGGGGAAACCCUGAUCCAGCCAUCCCGCGUGUGCGAUGAAGGCCUUCGGGUUGUAAAGCACUUUUGGCAGGAAAGAAACGUCGCGGGUUAAUACCCCGCNAAACUGACGGUACCUGCAGAAUAAGCACCGGCUAACUACGUGCCAGCAGCCGCGGUAAUACGUAGGGUGCAAGCGUUAAUCGGAAUUACUGGGCGUAAAGCGUGCGCAGGCGGUUCGGAAAGAAAGAUGUGAAAUCCCNGAGCUUAACUUUGGAACUGCAUUUUUAACUACCGGGCUAGAGUGUGUCAGAGGGAGGUGGAAUUCCGCGUGUAGCAGUGAAAUGCGUAGAUAUGCGGAGGAACACCGAUGGCGAAGGCAGCCUCCUGGGAUAACACUGACGCUCAUGCACGAAAGCGUGGGGAGCAAACAGGAUUAGAUACCCUGGUAGUCCACGCCCUAAACGAUGUCAACUAGCUGUUGGGGCCUUCGGGCCUUGGUGGCGCGCUAACGCGUGAAGUUACCGCCUGGGGAGU